AGGACGAACGCUGGCGGCGUGCUUAACACAUGCAAGUCGAGCGGUAAGGCCCUUUCGGGGGUACACGAGCGGCGAACGGGUGAGUAACACGUGAGCAAUCUGCCCUUCACUUCGGGAUAAGCCUCGGAAACGGGGUCUAAUACCGGAUAUGGCUGCGCCAUGCAUGUGGUGUGGUGGAAAGUUCUGGCGGUGAGGGAUGAGCUCGCGGCCUAUCAGCUUGUUGGUGGGGUAAUGGCCUACCAAGGCUUCGACGGGUAGCCGGCCUGAGAGGGUGACCGGCCACACUGGGACUGAGACACGGCCCAGACUCCUACGGGAGGCAGCAGUGGGGAAUAUUGGACAAUGGGCGAAAGCCUGAUCCAGCAACGCCGCGUGAGGGAUGACGGCCUUCGGGUUGUAAACCUCUUUCAGCGCCGACGAAGCGAGAGUGACGGUAGGCGCAGAAGAAGCACCGGCCAACUACGUGCCAGCAGCCGC
rnacentral:rRNA from 1 species